rnacentral:rRNA from 1 species
UACGGGGGGGGCAAGCGUUGUUCGGAAUUACUGGGCGUAAAGGGCUCGUAGGCGGCCAACUAAGUCAGACGUGAAAUCCCUCAGCUUAACUGGGGAACUGCGUCUGAUACUGGCGAGCUUGAGUGCAGGAGAGGAACGCGGAAUUCCAGGUGUAGCGGUGAAAUGCGUAGAUAUCUGGAGGAACACCGGUGGCGAAGGCGGCGUUCUGGACUGCAACUGACACUGAAAAACGAAAGCCAGGGGAGCAAACGGG